rnacentral:lncRNA from 1 species
AACUUGCUUCUUUUGAUGCUUCUCCCAUUUGUUCUUUAGAAUCUUUUGGUAAUGGUCCGACAACAGGCUUUAUCUUCUUAUCUGUCAUUUUAUAUCUCGUCUCUACAGUGACUUCUGGUGCUUGAAAAGAUUCAAGUAUGGUAUAAACUUCUCUUGAAUGAAUCUCAAUAAUCUUAUCAUUAUCUCCUAACCCAAUAGAUGUAAUCAAUUCCAAUGAAUCUUCCAGUCCAUUUUCUUCAUAAACACCUAAAAUCCUCUCAUCAU